UGCCCACAGCCGCGGGGAAACGGGGGGGGCAAGCGUUAAUCGGAAUUACUGGGCGUAAAGCGCGCGUAGGUGGUCUGUUAAGUCAGCUGUGAAAGCCCUGGGCUUAACCUGGGAACUGCAGUUGAUACUGGCAAGCUAGAGUACGAGAGAGGGAGGUAGAAUUCCAUGUGUAGCGGUGAAAUGCGUAGAUAUAUGGAGGAAUACCAGUGGCGAAGGCGGCCUCCUGGCUCGAUACUGACACUGAGGUGCGAAAGCGUGGGUAGCAAACAGGAUUAGAUC
rnacentral:rRNA from 1 species